rnacentral:rRNA from 1 species
UACGUAGGGUGCGAGCGUUAAUCGGAAUUACUGGGCGUAAAGGGUGUGUAGGCGGUUUUCUAAGUUUGGUGUGAAAUCUCCCGGCUCAACCGGGAGGGUGCGCCGAAAACUGGGAGACUAGAGUGCGGGAUGGGAGAGUAGAAUUCCUGGUGUAGCGGUGAAAUGCGUAGAUAUCAGGAGGAAUACCGGUGGUGUAGACGGCUCUCUGGACCGCCACUGACGCUGAGACACGAAAGCGUGGGUAGCAAACAGG